GGGAAAGAAACCGACUUUAAAUAACUCAUAAUUAUAUCAAAAGAUAGUCAUGCAAAAGCAAAGGAAUAAUCUUGAAUGGAACCAAAUGAGGAAUUAUUUGUCAUCAAGGACAAAGAAGCAUCAACUUCAUUGAUAGUUAUCUCAUUGGCCUUUAUCAUUUAUUCCAUUAAUACAUGUGUCAUAGAAUGCAUAUUCAUGUAUAUUUAAUCAUAACCUAGGGUUUU
rnacentral:lncRNA from 1 species